rnacentral:rRNA from 1 species
UAGGGAAUAUUAGAAAUGGACGAAAGUCUGAUCUAGCAACACCGCGUGUGCGAAGAAGGCCUUCGGGUUGUAAAGCACUUUUUGGAAGGAUUAGGAAGGAAUGUACUUCCAGAACAAGUCUCGGCUAACUACGUGCCAGCAGCCGCGGUAACACGUAGGAGGCAAACGUUAUCCGGAUUUACUGGGCGUAAAGCGCGUGUAGGUGGUUCUGUAAGUAGGGCGUGAAAGCUCCUGGCGCAACUGGGAGAGGCCGUUCGAAACUGCAGAGCUAGAGGAUGGUAGAGGGAGGUGGAAUUCCGGGUGUAGCGGUGGAAUGCGCAGAUAUCCGGAGGAACACCAGUGGCGAAAGCGGCCUCCUGGACCAUUCCUGACACUCAGACGCGAAAGCUAGGGUAGCAAACG